rnacentral:ncRNA from 1 species
CUCCCCGAAAUGCGUUGAGGCACAGCAGUUGACUGGACAUCUAGGGGUAAAGCACUGUUUUGGUGCGGGCUGCGCGAGCGGUACCAAAUCGAGGCAAACUCUGAAUACUAGAUAUGACCCAAAAAUAACAGGGGUCAAGGUCGGCCAGUGAGACGAUGGGGGAUAAGCUUCAUCGUCGAGAGGGAAACAGCCCGGAUCACCAGCAGUAUACAAAAUAAACUUUGUAGCUGAAUAUAGACGCCUCUUCCCCCCCCCCCCACAUGGAUAAAAGUAAGUAAACAGGAAUUAAUUCUAACUCCCACAUGAUAAAAAAAGUAAAAGAAUUUGAUCGCCUUCCAUACUUCACAAGCUGCGGCUAGUUCAGGACUCCAUUUGCAAGCUGCUCGGAUAAUUUCAUUACCUUCGUGAGCUAUGUAAGUGGGG